rfam:Aedes aegypti strain Liverpool supercont1.294 genomic scaffold, whole genome shotgun sequence.
CCCUUGGCUCUUUUCAGGGCCACCACAUGUGCAUAAAAGAGUUAU